CGACCGGGCUAAGCGAUCGCCCUUUGAGAAAUCGAGGGAGGAAAGUCCGAACACGGCCCCGCUCUCGGGCGGGGAGAAUGGUAGCGGGUAACACCCGCACGCUGCGAGGCGCGAGGUGCGAGCAGAGACGUCUUGAGCGAAAGCAAGAGACGUCUCCGGGAACGAAAGGACCCGGAGACGAGUUUCCGAGGCGACUCGGGAGGUGAAACGGCCAAAUCCUUACCGCCGUGCAAGGCCGCGCUCGACCAAUUUUUCUUCACGGUACUCCGUGUUAGAAAAAUGGAAGUGCCCUUGUGGUACGUCAAUUGGAAGAGAGUGCCGCUCGAGGUUCUGAGCAAUCAGAAUCCCAGACAAAUGAUCGCUCACGACAGAAUUCGGCUUAUCGGCCCGGUCUAUAA
rnacentral:RNase_P_RNA from 1 species